AUCCUAUGAUAGAAUAUUGUCUAUUGAAAUGUUUGAGCAUAUGAAGAACUAUGGAGAUCUCCUGAAGAAGAUGUCAAGAUGGAUGAAGGCAGAUAGUCUUCUUUUUGUUCAUUAUUUUUGCCAUAAAGCAUUUGCUUACCACUUUGAGGAUGUGAAUGAUGAUGAUUGGAUCACUAGGUACUUCUUCAGUGGAGGUACAAUGCCUUCUGCCAAUCUCCUCCUUUAUUUUC